rnacentral:pre_miRNA from 1 species
UACAUUACUGCAUACCUUGUUACAUUACUGCAUAUCUUGUUACAAAGGUAUGCAGUAAUGUAGUAAGGUAUGCAGUAAACUA